CCUACGGGAGGCAGCAGUGAGGAAUAUUGGACAAUGGAGGCAACUCUGAUCCAGCCAUGCCGCGUGCAGGAAGACUGCCCUAUGGGUUGUAAACUGCUUUUAUACAGGAAGAAAUCACUAUACGUGUMGAGUUCUGACGGUACUGUAAGAAUAAUAUCGCUAAUCC
rnacentral:rRNA from 1 species